GAUGAACGCUGGCGGCGUGCUUAACACAUGCAAGUCGAACGGAAAGGCCCUGCCUUGCUGGGGUGCUCGAGUGGCGAACGGGUGAGUAACACGUGGGUAAUCUGCCCUGCACUUUGGGAUAACCUCGGGAAACUGGGUCUAAUACCGGAUAGGACCUCCUUUUGCAUGGUGGGGUGGAGAGUUUUUCGGUGGGGGAUGAUCUGGCGGCCUAUCAGCUGGUUGGUGGGGUAGUGGCUUCCCACGGAGCCGUCGGGUGGCAGGCCGGAGGGGUGGACGGGCACCAUGGGGCCUGGGAUAGGCCCCGGACUCCAACGGGAGGAAGCGGUGGGGAAUAUGCCACAUUGGGGGGAAGCUGGUUGAGGGAAGGCGGGGGGGGGAAGGCGGGCUUCGGGUUGGAAAAUCGCUUCGGUCGGUGACAAGCGGUAUGUGACGGUACCGGGAGAAGAAGCACCGGCUAACUACGUG
rnacentral:rRNA from 1 species